rnacentral:misc_RNA from 1 species
AAAAAAAAAAAAAAAAUCCUCUUAAAAUCCCUCUAGGCCUUUCAAUUUACGGCAACCGACUUGUCCUUCACCAUUGCCGCUCUCCCUCACUGCCUACCCUAUCCGUCCGCGGCGUUGUUCACUGUGGCUGAGGGCAUGGCAUCUUCAGACGAUGAGGCCGAUGUUGGGCCACAGUCUGUCUCAAACUAUUAUUUUGUGGAUGAUGAAGAUGCACCAACUUCAUUCUCAGUGUUACCACUUCAAUGGAGCAAAAGUGAGAGUGUCAAUGAAAAGAAAAAACAACAGAUGUUCUUGCAUGGGAGUGUAGAUAAUGGACUUCAGACCAUACACAAGGAAGUCACGGCAUGGAAGUUUGAUCUUUUGAAUGAAAUUCCAGAUAUAUCAGUGCUCACCAAGGAGAAUAAUUGGAUCAAACUGGAAAAGCCAAGGAAGAGCUUCGAGGAAAUAAUUAGGACAGUCCUGAUUACAGUGCACUGUCUUCAUUUUGCAAGGAGGAAUCCAGAGGCAUCUGGUAAAUCUGUGUGGGACCACUUGUGCAAAGUUUUCAGUUUAUACGAUGUUAGACCUUCUCUAAAUGACUUGGUGGACCACAUGGCUUUAAUAUCUGAAGCUGUUAGAAGGGAUGAUUGGUUAGCAAAGUCCAAGUUCCUACUCGCAUUUCUUGAGGAAAAGCCAAGGAAGAGAAAGCUCUCUGAUGAGGAUGUGAAAGCUACAACUGUUUCUGCAUUUAUAGUUGAUAAUGUGGAUGAUGACAUCCUUGAAGAUGCAGUAGAAGAUGAGUCUGAUGAAGUUGAUGAGUUGUUUGAUUCUGUUUGUGCAAUUUGUGACAAUGGUGG